GGUUGAUCCAAAGGUAGUGAUUUAUCUCAAUUCAGUUACAGAUCAAACUCCUUGUUCUACUCUUUCCUCCCUUUUCACUACUGCACUUGACUAGUCUUUA
ensembl:misc_RNA Y_RNA Y RNA